GAUGAACGCUAGCUACAGGCUUAACACAUGCAAGUCGAGGGGAAACGAUAUUGGAAGCUUGCUUCCGAUAGGCGUCGACCGGCGCACGGGUGAGUAACGCGUAUCCAACCUGCCCACCACUUGGGGAUGACCUUGCGAAAGUAAGACUAAUACCCAAUGAUAUCUCUAGAAGACAUCUGAAGGAGAUUAAAGAUUCAUCGGUGAUGGAUGGGGAUGCGUCUGAUUAGCUUGUUGGCGGGGUAACGGCCCACCAAGGCGACGAUCAGUAGGGGUUCGGAGAGGAAGGUCCCCCACAUUGGAACUGAGACACGGUCCAAACUCCUACGGGAGGCAGCAGUGAGGAAUAUUGGUCAAUGGGCGAGAGCCUGAACCAGCCAAGUAGCGUGCAGGAUGACGGCCCUAUGGGUUGUAAACUGCUUUUAUAAGGGAAUAAAGUGAGUCUCGUGAGACUUUUUGCAUGUACCUUAUGAAUAAGGACCGGCUAAUUCCGUGCCAGCAGCCGCCGUAA
rnacentral:rRNA from 1 species